rnacentral:rRNA from 1 species
AACGAACGCUGGCGGCAUGCCUAACACAUGCAAGUCGAACGAGACCUUCGGGUAUAGUGGCGCACGGGUGCGUAACGCGUGGGAACCUGCCCUUAGGUUCGGAAUAACUCCCCGAAAGGGGUGCUAAUACCGGAUAAUGUCUUCGGACCAAAGAUUUAUCGCCUUUGGAUGGGCCCUCGUUGGAUUCGCUAGUUGGUAGGGUAAAAGCCUACCAAGGCGACGAUCCAUAGCUGGUCUGAGAGGAUGAUCAGCCACACUGGGACUGAGAUACGGCCCAGACUCCUACGGGAGGCAGCAGUGGGGAAUAUUGGACAAUGGGCGAAAGCCUGAUCCAGCAAUGCCGCGUGAGUGAUGAAGGCCUUAGGGUUGUAAAGCUCUUUUACCCGUGAUGAUAAUGACAGUACCGGGAGAAUAAGCUCCGGCUAACUCCGUG